UAUUUAUAAUCCGACAAGAUUAUUGUCAGUUCGGAUUAAAUAAAGUUUAUCAAUGAUAAAAUUUUAUAAAUCAGUAUUUUGAAAAAAAUUGACUGAGACAAUUUUCCCGCAAAAAUGACGCUACCGAGAACGCCGAUUUUACAAUCAUCUCUCCCAGUCACCUCGGUUAAUAAUCCUGGUAAUCUUAUUCAUUUUCCUACCACAUCGAGCGCACUGGAGAAUCUUGUUGAUCUAACGCAGAACGAUGUAAUACAUAAUAGUACCCUUUGUAUCCAAAGCCAAUCUGUUAGUAGUAACAACAAUGUUUGUAUUGCGAGUUCGAGCGGUAACGUAAAUGGUCACUCGCACAACGUUAGUGGGAUUGCACCAAUUUCAGAGUCCCAAAAUACGACCUCCGUCGCCAUAUUGCAAAAUGUAGUUUCGGGCCUUCAGACUGAAAUUGAAGCUUUGCGGGCAGAACGUCAGCAUUUGCUUCGCAUAUCGAGCACGGUCUUGCGACCCCCAGGUCCUCAAUUGCCACCCCCAUCUUUUCGACCAGACGCAUUAAGCAUGUGGACACCGAGAGAGUUAUUCCCUGCUGCCACUGUGACGUCACAAGCGGCAAAUCCCCCCUCUACUCGACCAGUCAAUCCACAUCCACAUGCACCCAUUUCGGCAACGCAAGCGAACGGACAGCAGUUCGCCAUGUCUGGCUUACCUGCGCGUGAACCGUACGCGCACUCAGUGGUCCUACCACCAACUCAUACGUUACCAGUGCACAUGGAUGCCCAGCCGACACUCUCGUACACAUACAUACAUCCAUCUAGCAAUAAUAACGUACCCGCAUUUACAAAUACACACGCACAAGCUCGAUUAGUACAAGCAUAUCCACAUGCACAGCCGUCAACCUGGCAUAAUACUCAUACAGUUCCAGCGGGGAAUUCAAAUAUGAGUGGGUCUAACUCUAUGUGGUUGUAUGAUCUCAGUCGUCUUGUUGAAUCUUGGAAUGUCUCGUUUCCAUCUCAUGAUCGAUCUUCUUCCAUUGAUGCCAGAAAAUAUUUAAAAAUAAUCGAGCAGCGGAUGGUCAGCAAUGAUAUUUCUUUUGAAAAUUUUCAUGCAGUGGUAACCAACACACUUCGCGGCGAUGUACUCGAGUGGUACUACCAAAGCGAAUGUUUAUUUCACAGCUGGGUGACCUUCAAAGAAUUUUUUAAGAUUUGGCAGGUUCAGCAAACAGAUGAGUCGGUGCUGCAGGGGAUAUAUUCGGCCAAACAAAGCAGCAACCAGACAGGAGUUGCAUUUAUUAAUCGGAUGCAAAGCGAAUUUGCAAAAUAAGAAAAUCCGUUACCGCAAAUGAAGCAAAUUCGAAUUGUAACCUCGCGAUUUAAUUCACAGUUUUUACAAAAAUUUUCAAAUACGACUAUUAUGACUUACACUGAAUUAUAUACGCGAGUCAGCGCCUGGCAGUCGACAGCUGAUGCGCUGAACCCUCAUUUUAAAAAUCGUAAAGAAAAUAACGGUAGAAUCAAAACCCGUAGCCAAUUAAAUUCCAUCAAAAGUACGGAAAUAGAUCAAUUAAAUAGUAUAGAGACUUUACAGCCUUCUACUGUAUCACCCAACAAUAACUUUGCAAAUAAUAAUUUUAAUAGAAACAAUAAUUUUAAUAGAAAUAAUAAUUUUAACAAUAAUAAAAAUUUUCAUAAUUCUAAAUACGCUCAAAAUCCAGCACAGUCAAAUCCAUUUAGUAAAAAUGAAAAUUUUGAGUCUUCUACUUUAUUAAAUAAUUUUGUGUCCUUAAUGAAAACUAUUUUGGAAAAAUUAGAUCAAAAUACUGUCAAUACGUCACCAGUAAAAGUCAAUUCAACUCCGGGAUCAAAUAAUAAUGCAACGAAAGCUCCUGUAUGCGGUCGUUGCGGAAAAAUUGGUCAUGUUGCCGAGGUUUGCUGUGGACCAGUAACCGAUGAAUUGCGCAUUAAAGCGGGAUUACCUCUUCGUUCUCACCCUUCGUCUCCAAAAAACGCGUAAGCGCCCUGGUAGACACCAACCACGUUACCAGGGCUUCAGUGUCAACUAAUAACUCGGAUAUGCUGAUUGAAAUUAAUGAUGAUAAACCUAAGUCGACUCAAUUAAAUCCGGAUGCUCCUGAAUUUAUCAUCAGUAAUGGAAAAUUAUUUUUAAACUAUCCCAUUGCUGCUGAUACUUCAAAACUGGUUGGUAACGCUUCGGAAAAUCCUGAUGCUGAUUUAAUUGACAUUUCAACUCCUCUCGAUCAAAUAGCUGACAAGUUGGUGAGCGAAGAGUCCAGUUGGGAGACAAGUUCAGAAGCUUCUCAACAAUUUAGAAAUACCAAAAGACCAAAAAUUAAAAAUCCUGUGAAAACUCUAAAAUCCAAAAUUAAAAAUUCCAUAAAUCCGUCGCGUAACUCUAAAAAUAAAAUUAAUAAAAAUCGAUUAAAAUCUCCAAUCAAAAAUUCAUCACUAGACCUUGAAAUAAACGAACGGCAACGACCAACGGUCACAAAGCUUGAAAAUGACUCGGAGACAUACGGUACUCCUCUCUGUGAUCUAAGGGAGGAUACUAGUCCUUUAUAUGACUCAGAGAUUGAUGAGUAUCGAUCCGAUUCGAGCGAAGACAUUGCUUACGCUCCAAAAUUCACCAUUCAAAUGAAUUCGGACAAUAUACAGAGUACAUUACUGCCAAUGCUCAGUAAUGAUAAUAAACUCAGCCAUAUGACCUCUAGCCAGUCUUAAAGCUCCGUCAACAGUAAGUCGCAUGAUUGCCAAUAUAUUUAUCGGUAAAUAUGAGCUCGAAGCAUUAUUGGACAGUGGGAGUGAGCGCAGUUAUAUUUCUGAGAUCGCGUAUGAACAAAUCAAAGAAUAUCAACUGCAAGACCUCACACCUGACCCCACUAGCACUCAUGGAGUAACUAUGGCUAAUUCUAAGUCCACGCAAACUCGUGUUGGAGCCCCAUUCAAAAUUCAACUUGAUGGUCAUGCUAUUAUCACUUGGUUAAGUGUCUUAUCUGAAUUGUCUACUCCAGUAAUUCUUGGUCUUGAUUUCUGGGAACUAGCAGAUAUCCAAGUAAAUUCCAAGGAGAGUACUUGGAAAUUAAAUACCAGUAACGUCACUCAUUCAUUUUUCUCUCGGUCCGGAUUUAUAAAUCAAGAAUCAUUAAAUGUACUGUCGUCAGCUGAACGCGUCAAUCUUGAAAAAUUUCUAGCAAAAGAAUUUGAGAAAAAUAAGCAAAUCCAGUUGGAUUUAACGCAUUUAGUUCAACAUCGUAUCGAAUUGACAGAUGAUACUUCAAUACGUACUAAACCAUACCGUAGAAGUCCACCAGUAAUGAAAGCGAUGCACGACAAAGUCGAUGAAUUGCUCGCGAAGGGUUAUAUUCAGCCUUCAAAUAGUGCUUGGGCAUGUUCGCCAGUAAUGGUACCCAAGGAGAACAAUACUUGGCGCAUGUGCAUCGAUUACCGGCCAUUAAAUAAAGUCACGAAAAAAUCUGCUUAUCCGUUACCAAUUAUGUAUCGCAUUUUGUCAAGCCUUCAAGGUGCUAAAGUAAUUUCGGUACUUGAUGUCAGUGAUGCCUUCCAUCAUGUUUUAGUUGAGCCAAAUAGCUGUCAGUACACAGCAUUUUGUGUAGAUGGACGAGGGUUAUUUGAAUGGAUUCGGAUGCCAUUCGGUCUCACAAAUGCACCAAGCACCUACCAAGAAGUUUCCGAUACGGUACGACGAAAAAUUAUUGAGUCAUAAAAAACCCAGUUUUUAUAUAUUGAAGCAGAAAAUAAAAUUUUCGCUUAUCUUGACGACUGGAUAAUAGUUAGUGAUGAUUUACAAGAGCAUAAAAUUCUUCUUCAAGCUGUCUUUGAAGGAUUCCGUAAGGCUGGAAUAAAAAUGAACGAAGAAAAAAGUCAUUUUGGUUGCUCUGAAGUUCAUUUUUUGGGCUUCAUCAUUAAUGAAGAUGGUUUGAAACCCGAUCCAGCUCGAUUGGAGCCAAUUGCAAAUUAUAAACGACCUACAAACCGUAAGGAACUGCGAAGAUUUAAUGGAUUAGUCAACUGGUACCAUAAACAUCUUAAAAAUGUCGCAUAAGUUCAAGGUCCCUUGAACAAAUUAACAAGUACUCGAGUUCCGUGGGAAUGGACAGAUGUCGAAGAAAAAGCUUUUGAGGAAACAAAAGAAGCUCUGUUAAAAGCCGCAACAUUGUCAUUGCCACGUCCAGACUUAUCUUAUCGUCUAUAUACCGAUACUAGUAACACUGGGUUAGGCUCUGUCUUAACUCAGUAUGAUCCAGAACUCGAUCGAGAAAAUUUAAUUAUCUGUUUAAGUCGACCGUUAAAUAAAGCAGAAAUGAAUUACACGACAACAGAAAAGGAAUGUCUUGCUGUCGUGUGGUCCUUACGGAAAUUACGCGGUUACAUCGAGGGUUUAUCAAUCACGGUCUACACUGAUCAUUCCGCAUUGAAAUGGCUUCACUCGUUAAAAGAUCCAGCAGGUAGACUGGCCAGGUGGGCCAUUGACAUUUCCGCUUAUGACAUAGAAGUUGUUCAUUAUCGGGGUACACAAAACGAAGCUCCAGACGCCCUCUCGCGUCGAUAUGAAGAACCAGAGACUGCUGAUUUACUUGCUUUAGAUUCGAAUCCUUUAUCAUUGUGUGUAAUUGCUCAAAAUUCUGCUUGGUAUGAUGAGAAAGUCCGAGUUGUCAAAAAAUAUCCGGAGAAUUAUCGUGAAUGGAAAUAUGAGAAUGACAAGUUGUAUUUUUACCGUCCAUUAGCUGUCAGAGAAAUACUUGGUGAAUUAAACCCUUGGAAAGUCGUCCUAACUGAGCCCGAAAUUCGUCCAGAUAUCGAGAAAGCACACUGUGAAGCUCAAUCGGGUCAUCUUGGGAUUGACAAAACUUAUCAACGGAUACGAGAUCACUUCUACUGGCCAGGAAUGUUCAAAGAUGUUUCAGCAUACGUUUCAGCUUGCGAAACUUGUAUAAUGACUAAAAGUAACUAGACAAAACCGCAAGGGUACAUCGGAACGAGACCACCAACUCAGCCUUGGUCUAUUAUUUCUAUUGACACAAUUGGCCCAUAUACCCGUUCAACUAUGGGGAAUUAAUAUGCUCUGGUUAUUGAAGACCUUUAUACGCGCUAUCAUGAAAUAUUUCCUUCGAAACAACAAUCCGGUGAAAUCAUAAAACAUCACCUGACGGCUGUAUUUAAUCACUGGGGUCCUCCUUGCCAAAUUAUCUCAGAUAAUGGCAAAGAAUUCAUAAACAAAGACAUAAUUAAUCUCAUCAGUCAAUACAAUAUAAAAUUUACACCAACUCCUAUCGGUCACCUUUGCGCAAAUCCUGUUGAACGUUGUAAUCAUACAAUUAAACCUAUGAUUGUCACGUUUACAAGUAAACAUCAGAAAGACUGGGACGAACAUCUCAACGAUUUAAAAUUCGCGUACAAUACCUCAGUACACACUGCGUUGGGUGUAUCCCCAUUCUAUUUGAACCACGGACGUGACGCACGACUGAUUAAUGACACCGAUCCUCUCGAAAAUCUAGACGUAUCUGACGUUAUCGUUUGGCAAGCCCGAAUGGACCGUGCAGUUAAACUGAGACAUUUUGUUGAGCAAAAUAUGUUGAAAGCUCGGGAACGCACGCGUAAGCAACAUGAACAAAAAUUUUCUGAUAUUCCUAUAGAUUUAAAAAUCGGUGAUGAAGUUUAUUAUCUAAAUAAAAAAUUAAGUGAGAAAGUUGAUGGUUAUAGUGCUAAAUUAGCACCAAAAUAUUCGGGACCCGCGAUUGUCUCUAAAAUUUUAAGUCCUCUAGUAGUCGAACUACAAGAUAAUGCCGGUAACGAUAUUGGCGCAUAUUAUUACAAUGACUUAAAAAUUCCUAGACUGUCUCGAAGACGUAACUGAUUAUUCUCGAUAUAUUUCAAAUCAUCCAUCAUAAAAGUGAAAAUACAUGGAAACUCAGGAUCAGAUACUGAAGCCUCAUCUCAUGAGUCCGAGGCCGAGGUGUCUGAUGCUGAAGUAUCAUCCAUUCAUGCAGUCAUACCAUCAUCUGACUCAUUAUCACUCGCAUUUAACACCGCAUCAACAUCCACUUCUGAAUUGCCCCCUGUUACUGAGAAGACAACAUCAACUUCGUCACCGGCUGCCCCUGUAAUUGCAACAACCGUCGCAGCAUCACCAACAUGGUCUACUGGAUCAGCGACAUCAACUGGACCCCGAUUUGCGUUGCCGCCAUGGCAAACUACAACUGGCCUUGACUUUGGUCGUCCAUCGUCUGCACCAACUUCAGCAAUGUUCGAGACUUUAACUAAAUUCAUGAAGGAUGAAUUUAGUAGGCUUCAUGCUCGUAUUGACCGUGCCAUAAGUCACCGUCCUGCGGUCACGUCAAUACCAUCUGGGGCAUCAAGAUUUGACAUCCAGUGGAUGGAACGCAUCGACGAGAAGUUAGAAGAUCUGCAAAUUGUCGUUCAAACCAACACCGAUCAAGUCGCCGAACUCAAAACGCAAUUAGAAUCUCUGAAAAUGCCUCCAGUCACUCCGCAAUCAGAGUCAAGUCUUACAACAAACCUCACGGCACGACUUGAUCAGUUAACUGAGCAAGUCUAGCGAAGCCAGAAAAUGAUCGCAGACAUUAAAUUGCCAAGCCCAGAAGAAUUUGCUAAGAAACUCCAGGCGUUCAAUUUGAAAACACAACUGACUGUCACUGAAAUCAGCUGUCAGACAACAACGACCUCAGCUACAACCUCUACUCCAGUCAAAGUAGAGUAUGACAUCGGUAUUACGCCAAAUAACAAAUCGGUGCUGCCAUUACUGGCUCAACAAGCUUCUGCUUGCGGUCCGAAUCCAGGACUCAAGAUUAGCGAUGGUGCAUACCAACGUCCAUCGCCGGAAGGCGCCAGAUUUCCACCAUCCCUCACUGCUUGCUAGGCAAAUGGCUCGUCAAGAGUUAUCUGAAAAAGAAGUUUCGACACUACGAGCUUCGGGAGCUAUUCCUAAGGACAUCAAGACUAAGAUCCAGAUGGUAACUUUUGCUAACUCAUUACCGUAUUCGCAGACAGCUCCAGCGCCAAGGUAUGAGGUUCCAUUGAAACCUACAGACGCCUACAAACAAUUCUUGUCUGACUUACCGCCUGCUCCAGCAUCAAACUCCAUCGCAGCUGCAACAGAGCCAACACCACAAGUUGUGAUCCAUAACGGUGUCCACUUUCUGGAUUACACAACCUUCUGCAAAGCGAUCGAAAAAAUUUGUGUCGUUGUCAAGCCUCGGAUAUGUUAUACAGAAUUGAGGGAAUCAUGGACACAGAUGGUAACGACCCAAGCUCAGUCGUUGUUUAUUUCCAAUGCGUGUCAAAAUUGUCGGCAACGAGAUCACAAAAUUACCGAAUGUCAAUUACCAUGGCGACCUGACAUGUGCCACCUAUGCUAUCAAGACCAAGUGACGACGGCAAGGUACUUCCGUCCACACGAUAAAAAUUACAAAGAUUACAUUUGGGGACGUUGCCAAGGCUGCGGGAUUCCAGCUCAGUUGUUCGAUCUGCACUGUAGUGCAUGCAAUCGCGGAUACCCGGGGUACAAAGAUUGGAUCUCAACGAAGUACACUCCAGAGGAUAUCGAGCGCUUCCAUCGAAGUCAUCUGCGAGCGACGAGGAAACCGGAAUGAAUUUACACACUUUUUUUUUCCCUAUUACCGUACCGAUUUAGAUUGUAAAUCUAAAUAAACACAUACACAUAAUCUCAUACUCAUCUCAUUAAUUCAUUUUAUUAUUGUUGCCAAUUGUAAUAAUUUUCAAUUACAGCUUCGAGUCCUGUAGCAGUUGGUAGCAGAAAAAUUACUAUUUUUUUUUUCUACAGCCCAGAGGCUGCGGAAAACAAAUAUUUAAAAUUAUAUUUUUAUUUCUUUGCAUAUUUUAUUUGUCUAGUUCGUAAGUUGUAAAGAUUUCCUGAUCCAGAUCGAAGUCCCAGGAUCGAGGUGGGCUCGAGAUUAGGGUGGUUGGACUUGGAAUUUGAGUCAAAAUACUCCUAACGGCUUGCAAUCGUUUUCAAAAUUUUUAUUGGCAAUCUACUUGCACCGCUGGCGAUUGACUCGCACUUUAAAAUUUCAAAUUUAUACUGGCAAUUGACUUGCACUACUGGCGAUUAAAUCGCAAAAUUUUGAAAACUUGUUAUCUGGCAAGAAUUUUUCAAUUGAAAAUCUUUUUUAUGCUGACAAGUAACUUGCAAUUUUGAGGCGAUUUAUUCGCACCGCUGUAAAUAAUUUAAUGUAUAUAUUUUCGUUUAUUAUUGUAUAAUUAUCUUCGUCGGGCAACCUAGACAGAAAUCUAAAAAGGUAAUCUUGGCUUGGUGGGGGGGAUUGAGACAAUGCGAAUUGUCUUCGUCGUCCUCAGCCCUGCGGUUCCCUCUUUUAUCCGUCUCGUUGCCGUUUGAAUUUUCGUAUGUCAUAGUGCCGUGGUCACAUGACAAGUUUUUCACGUCGACGCAUGACCGUGGGGUAAGUGGGGGCAGAGCAAGUUCACGACCAAGGACCCUGCGGCAUCGAUAGACAUUUCGAUCUUGGAUCUAGUAGCAUUUAGGUCUACUUAAAUAUUCGGAAUUAAUUAUUGUUAGAUGGCAAUUUUACUUGCGUUAUAUCAGUUUCUUACUAUUCAAUUUUAUUACUAUACUUUAUAUUCAACUGGCAACUUAGCUUGCGAUUUCAUUGUUUAUUAUAUAUUAUUUUUAGUAUAAAAUACGUUUAAUUUAUUAAGUUUAUCAUUACGUUACCGCUGAUACAUCUGUAGUAUCAGCGCAUUAUUUAUAAAGAAUAAAAUCAGUGCGAUAAUCAACGCUUUCCACGUGGCCAUCGACUAUUAUUUGGACCAUAUCGAUUGUAUUCUUCGGAAACAUUUAUUCGAAAUUGGGAGACUUAUGUGCAAGUGACAAUGAUUGUAGUGAAGUAUUGCAUGCUAAAUGUUCAACAGAAAAAAAAUGUGUUUGUAGAGCAGAUAAUGUAAAAAUAAAUAGCACAAAUUGCGCACCGUCGUUAGGAGCAUUUUGUUGGAAAGACGAAAAAUGUACAACCAAUGAUGCUGUUUGCAUUAAAAAUCAAUGUCAAUGCAAAGAAAGUCACAUGCAAAUCGAUAAUCAAUGCAUACCAAGUAAAUAAAUAUCAUUAACUUGUAAAAUCUGAUCUUAUUUCUUGAGAUCUAAACAACUCCCAAUCUAAACACAGGAAAUCAAACAAAAUUGGGAGCUUCUUGUGUCGAUGAUGAAGGGUGUAGCAUGAUAAUGCAUGCUAGAUGUUCAACAGAAAAAAAAUGCAUUUGUAGAUUGAAUAAUGUCAGAAUAAAUAAUACCUGUGCACCUUUGUUAAGAGGGUUUUGUUGGAAAAACGAAAUAUGUGCAACUGAUAAUGCCGUUUGUAUAGACAGUACAUGUCAGUGCAAAAGGAAUCAUCUAGAAUCUAAUGAUCGAUGCAUACCAAGUAAGUAAGUCAGCAUUCAAACAAAACUUUUUUAAUGUGAAACAUGCAAUCUAAUUCACUUUUAAAGAUGUUAUUUUCAAAAGAGAAAUACGUUAUAAUCUCUAUUAAACUUCCUAACUUCCUAAGCUGAACAUACAUAUAAGGAAAAAAUAUGGCUUUGAAGAAAACAGUUCACCCAUAAAAAUGAAUGAUAUAGUUAAAUAUAACAGUUGGUCAUAUAUGCUCGACAUAUGAUCCAUUUGUAAAGGAUAUGUGAAGCAUAUAUCAAACAUAUAUGGCCAUGUAUGUUUCAUUUUUCACGGAAACUCAUGUAUUUCUCUUUCUGCAUUCAUCACAAGAUCUAUUGCGUUUAUCUACUGGAGUCGGCCAUCGAGUGCAAUACGCAUUUUGUUAAGCCUAAUCGAAAGUACAGUACAAGUAAAUGGCCCCUUCUCAGUGAUGACUGAUAAUAUCGUUAUUCGUGUAUAUGUAACACUUUUAGUUAUCAAUGAGCGCCAUUAAUCAAUCCUUCUCAAUUUACCCUGACAACAAUACCAAUCUCUAUUGUUUAUUAGAAUACAAAUUUUAAAGAACCUCCUUAAUAGUAUUUUCAAAAUAGUCUUACGUAAAUAAAGGUCUUAUCGUGUUUAUCAAGUCUGCAUCAUCAAUCUUAGACGAAGCUGAAGUAAGAUACUCGCACAAUAUGCAUUAGUUGAUAGAAAGAAUAUGGUAAUUGCCUUUAUUCAGGGCUCACCACAUUUUUCAAUGUUUCAAGUGCUUAUACCUUAAAUAUCUAUAAUUAAAUUUUUUCCACGUGUUCAGCUACAUGGCGGUUUAAAUUUUCUGUAGGAGUUUUUGUCUCUUACAUGUGAUAUCUAUCCGAACUUUGUGACUAAUGUGUAUAAAAUUGGCAAAAAUAACACAAAAUCAUGUAGAUUUUCAAAAAUAAAUUUUUUCUAAUAAUAAUAAUUGAAUUUAUUUAAAGUCGUAAGAUGGACGGUGGCGAUAGGAAGGUCUAUCUAAGAGUUAUAAAUAAUUUUUUAACUCUUGUAAUAGUGAAAAUCAGCAUAUUUGUGUUAUUUCAAUAUUUUUAAGGUGUACA